UAAUACGUAGGGUGCGAGCGUUGUCCGGAAUUAUUGGGCGUAAAGAGCUCGUAGGCGGUCUGUCGCGUCGAAUGUGAAAACCCGGGGCUCAACUCCGGGCUUGCAUUCGAUACGGGCAGGCUAGAGUUCGGUAGGGGAGUCUGGAAUUCCUGGUGUAGCGGUGAAAUGCGCAGAUAUCAGGAGGAACACCGGUGGCGAAGGCGGGACUCUGGGCCGAUACUGACGCUGAGGAGCGAAAGCGUGGGGAGCGAACAGG
rnacentral:rRNA from 1 species